CGUAUCACUUAAAGCGAUUCAGCGGGUUACGAUUGACGGAGCGAAGCGACGUCAAAGCGUAUACAAAGUCGAGUCGGUUUAAGGAUACGUUCGUUGGGUAGGGGAGCGUUCUGUAAGCCUGUGAAGGUGUGUCGUGAGGCAUGCUGGAGGUAUCAGAAGUGCGAAUGCUGACAUAAGUAACGAUAAAGCGGGUGAAAAGCCCGCUCGCCGGAAGACCAAGGGUUCCUGUCCAACGUUAAUCGGGGCAGGGUGAGUCGACCCCUAAGGCGAGGCCGAAAGGCGUAGUCGAUGGGAAACGGGUUAAUAUUCCCGUACUUGGUGUUACUGCGAAGGGGGGACGGAGAAGGCUAUGUUGGCCGGGCGACGGUUGUCCCGGUUUAAGCGUGUAGGCUGGUUUUCCAGGCAAAUCCGGAAAAUCAAGGCUGAGGCGUGAUGACGAGGCACUACGGUGCUGAAGCAACAAAUGCCCUGCUUCCAGGAAAAGCCUCUAAGCAUCAGGUAACAUCAAAUCGUACCCCAAACCGACACAGGUGGUCAGGUAGAGAAUACCAAGGCGCUUGAGAGAACUCGGGUGAAGGAACUAGGCAAAAUGGUGCCGUAACUUCGGGAGAAGGCACGCUGACACGUAGGUGAAGUGAUUUACUCAUGGAGCUGAAGUCAGUCGAAGAUACCAGCUGGCUGCAACUGUUUAUUAAAAACACAGCACUGUGCAAACACGAAAGUGGACGUAUACGGUGUGACGCCUGCCCGGUGCCGGAAGGUUAAUUGAUGGGGUCAGCGCAAGCGAAGCUCCUGAUCGAAGCCCCGGUAAACGGCGGCCGUAACUAUAACGGUCCUAAGGUAGCGAAAUUCCUUGUCGGGUAAGUUCCGACCUGCACGAAUGGCGUAAUGAUGGCCAGGCUGUCUCCACCCGAGACUCAGUGAAAUUGAACUCGCUGUGAAGAUGCAGUGUACCCGCGGCAAGACGGAAAGACCCCGUGAACCUUUACUAUAGCUUGACACUGAACAUUGAGCCUUGAUGUGUAG
rnacentral:rRNA from 2 species